UGGUCUUUUGUGCACGUAAAAUUGACAGACAUAUGAAUGCUUCUCUCGCUGGAGGCCACCAGAGGCUGGAGGAGGGAGGUGACAUCCAUCUCGAUCCAUCUGUGUUUCUUCAAGGUCACAGUGGAGGAGGAAGCAGCCGAGUUGUUGAGAGCAAAUAGCAAGACUGACUUGAGUAAGUGUUCCAUGGCUGUCACCCGAUCCAGGUUAAACAGCAGGUCCGCCAUCGGCAGGGGUCCUGAGAAGAGAAGCCACCAACCAGCAGGUGAGAAGAAUGGCUCCCUUUGGUGGCAUCCCUACUGACGCAGCCAGGAGACUUGCAGAAGCAACAUUCGCUGGACCUGGAUGAAGCAUGUCAAUUGAGAACAUCUGACUGCCACGUGAGAUUGGAAACAAAUGGAGGCUCUAAGACUGCUGCAGGAAAGUGGACCAGCGGGAGGAAGGGAGGCUUUCAACAGACGCCCUGUACAGGCAUGAUGGUUUUCCUUCCACUGUGAACUGGUGGCUGCGGUGUGUGCGUGUGGGAGUGUGCGUGUGGGGGCGGUUAAUGGACACACACUCUGUAGCACACAUAUGGAAAAACAACUUGUGGGACUCGGUUCUUCCAACAUGUGGGGCCUGGGAACUGAAUUAAGGCUGUCGGGUUGGUGGAAAAAGCCUUCACCCAUGACGCCAUCGCCAAAGCCUGGAGUUUUUGUUGCCGGUUUUUAAAGCCUCCCCCACUCUUAUUUCUUACCAAACUGUUCCCGCUGUUUUUGGUUUUUUAAGACAGGGCUUCUCUGUAGCUUUGGAGCCUGUCCUGGAACUUACCCUGUAGACCAGGCUGACCUCGAACUCACAGAGGUCUGUCUGUCUUUGCCUCCUGAGUGCUGGGAUUAAAGGUGUGUGCCACCACCACCUGGCCUGUUCCCAUUGUUGACUAAUACUUUGAGGUUUGGGGUUUUGUUUGUUUGUUUGUUUUUAUUGUUGAGACAGGGUCUCACCAGGUAACCCAAGCUGGCCUGGAACUCAUUGGAUAGCCCCAGCUGGCCCUGCUCUGAGCUGGGAGAGCAGCCUGCCCCUGCCCCCUGAGGGCUAGAAUUAAAGUCACGUGUCAUUAUGCCCUGCUUGACUUCUGUUGAUACUGGAGGCCAAACUCCGGGCAUUUGGUAUACUCAACAUAAACUGUACUAUAGCUCAGCCAUACCGUUUUGCACUGUGCCAGAUGGAGCGAGAGGAAACUGUCCCAUUCAUCACAGCCACGGCUGGCUCAAAGCGAGGUUUCGGCACAAUGCUAGGCCAACAGCUUGGCAGAAUGGAAAGAGAUGCUAGCUACUUCCCCUGGUCUUUCAAGACAUUACUCUCUUCUAGCCUUAACAUAUUGAGCUAGUGUGCCGUUACAGGCCUGUGUCCCCAGCACUAAGGCAGGCGGGUCACUGCAAGUUUGAGAUCAGUCUCAAAAAAGAAAGAGAGCGGGAGGGAGGGGAAGAGGG